GGAGUCGGCCAGACGGUCGCUCGCGGUUUGCCCGCGAGAGGAAAGUCCGGGCUCCGCAGGGCAGGGUGCCAGGUAACACCUGGGGGGCGCGAGCCUACGGAAAGUGCAGCAGAAAGGAAACCGCCCGCAUCUCUCUUGUAGAGGGCGGGUAAGGGUGAAAAGGUGCGGUAAGAGCGCACCGCGCGGCUGGUAACAGGCGUGGCGAUGGUAAACCCCACCCGGAGCAAGACCAAAUAGAAAUCCGGUGCUGUGGCCCACAGUGGAUUCGGGUAGGUCGCUAGAGGCAAGUGGUGACACUUGCCGCAGAUGAAUGAUCGUCCAAGACAGAACCCGGCUUAUCGGCCGACUCCCUUU
rnacentral:RNase_P_RNA from 1 species